AAUAAGAUUAUUUUUCAGUUUUUAGAUACCAUGUUUUGACUCUUCGUCUUAUUUGAAAUUUUUUUGUGAUUAAUUUUUUGUUUUUACUAGAUGAUAAAAUAUGAAUAGCAUUUUAUGCGUGACUAAAUCUUUUAAGUUUUUUAUAAAUUUUUUAAAUAAGACAAAUAAUUAAAGUAUUGGAUACAGAAAUCAAAAAAUAACUUUAUG
rnacentral:pre_miRNA from 1 species